rnacentral:rRNA from 1 species
UGGUGCCAGCAGCCGCGGUAAUUCCAGCUCCAAUAGCGUAUAUUAAAGUUGUUGCAGUUAAAAAGCUCGUAGUUGAAUUUCGGGGUUAGUAAGUUGGUCAUGCCUCCGGUAUGCACUGGCUUUACUGAUUCCUCCUUCUUGAUGAACUGUAAUGUCAUUAAUUUGGUGUUGCAGGGAAUCAGGACUGUUACUUUGAAAAAAUUAGAGUGUUUAAAGCAGGCAUACGCUUGAAUACAUUAGCAUGGAAUAAUGAAAUAGGACGUUUGAUCCUAUUUUGUUGGUUUCUAGGAUUGACGUAAUGAUUAAUAGGGAUAGUUGGGGGCAUUAGUAUUCAAUUGUCAGAGGUGAAAUUCUUGGAUUUAUUGAAGACUAACUACUGCGAAAGCAUUUGCCAAGGAUGUUUUCAUUAAUCAAGAACGAAAGUUAGGGGAUCGAAGACGAUCAGAUACCGUCGUAGUCUUAACCAUAAACUAUGCCGACUAGGAU